rnacentral:rRNA from 1 species
GAUGAACGCUGGCGGCGUGCCUAAUACAUGCAAGUCGAGCGAACGGACGAGAAGCUUGCUUCUCUGAUGUUAGCGGCGGACGGGUGAGUAACACGUGGAUAACCUACCUAUAAGACUGGGAUAACUUCGGGAAACCGGAGCUAAUACCGGUUAAUAUUUUGAACCGCAUGGUUCAAAAGUAAAAGACGGUCUUGCUGUCACUUAUAGAUGGAUCCGCGCUGCAUUAGCUAGUUGGUAAGGUAACGGCUUACCAAGGCAACGAUGCAUAGCCGACCUGAGAGGGUGAUCGGCCACACUGGAACUGAGACACGGUCCAGACUCCUACGGGAGGCAGCAGUAGGGAAUCUUCCGCAAUGGGCGAAAGCCUGACGGAGCAACGCCGCGUGAGUGAUGAAGGUCUUCGGAUCGUAAAACUCUGUUAUUAGGGAAGAACAUAUGUGUAAGUAACUGUGCACAUCUUGACGGUACCUAAUCAGAAAGCCACGGCUAACUACGUG